rnacentral:lncRNA from 1 species
AUGCAACACACAUACAUGCACGUGUGUAUACACACAAAGACACACAUGUACAUAUACACACCCACACACAUACACACACUCAUGCACACACAUACACAUAUAUACACAUAUGCCCACAGAUGCACACACACUCAUACAUAUAUACACAUAUACUCACAGAUGCACACACACACACUCAUACAUAUAAAUACAUAUAUACCACAGAUGCACACACACACACACACACUCAUAGAUAUAUACACACAUAUACCCAUAGAUGCACACACACACUCAUAUAUAUAUACACAUAUACCCACAGAUGUACACACACACUCAUAUAUAUAUAUAUAUAUAUAUAUACAUAAGCCCACAGAUGCACACACACACACACUCAUAUAUAUACACAUAUGCCCACAGGUGCACAUACACACAUUCAUACAUGUAUAUACACAUAUACCCACAUAUGCGCACACACAUGCACUCAUACAUAUAUAUACACAUAUACCCACAGAUGCACACACACACUCAUACAUGUAUAUACACAUAUACCCACAGAUGUACACACACACAUUCAUACAUGUAUAUACACACAUACCCACAGAUGCACACACACACACUCAUACAUGUAUAUACACAUAUACCCACAGAUGCACACACACACUCAUACAUGUAUAUACACAUAUACCCACAGAUGUACACACACACAUUCAUACAUGUAUAUACACACAUACCCACAGAUGCACACACACACUCAUACAUGUAUAUACACAUAUACCCACAGGUGCACACACACGCACACUCAUACAUAUAUACACAUAUACCCACAGAUGCACACACACAUUCAUACAUGUAUAUACACAUAUACCCACAGGUGCACACACACGCACACUCAUACAUGUAUAUACACAUAUACCCACAGAUGCACACACACACUCAUACAUAUAUAUACACACAUACCCACAGAUGCACACACACACACUCAUACAUGUAUAUACACAUAUACCCACAGGUGCACACACACGCACACUCAUACAUAUAUAUAUACACAUAUACCCACAGGUGCACACACACACAUAA